rnacentral:rRNA from 1 species
CCUACGGGAGGCAGCAGUGGGGAAUAUUGCACAAUGGGCGAAAGCCUGAUGCAGCGACGCCGCGUGAGGGAUGACGGCCUUCGGGUUGUAGACCUCUUUCAGCAGGGAAGAAGCGAAAGUGACGGUACCUGCAGAAGAAGCGCCGGCUAACUACGUGCCAGCAGCCGCGGUAAUACGUAGGGCGCAAGCGUUGUCCGGAAUUAUUGGGCGUAAAGAGCUCGUAGGCGGCUUGUCACGUCGGUUGUGAAAGCCCGGGGCUUAACCCCGGGUCUGCAGUCGAUACGGGCAGGCUAGAGUGUGGUAGGGGAGAUCGGAAUUCCUGGUGUAGCGGUGAAAUGCGCAGAUAUCAGGAGGAACACCGGUGGCGAAGGCGGAUCUCUGGGCCAUUACUGACGCUGAGGAGCGAAAGCGUGGGGAGCGAACAGGAUUAGAUACCCUGGUAGUCCACGCCGUAAACGGUGGGAACUAGGUGUUGGCGACAUUCCACGUCGUCGGUGCCGCNGCUACGACAUUAGUUACCCGUCCGUCGGGAGGUACGGCCGCGAGACGUAAACGUUAAAUAGUAAGUUAGUACGGCGUUGAGACGUUGCCGACGGCGACGACGAGGGAGGAGG